UACGUAGGGGGCGAGCGUUAUCCGGAUUCAUUGGGCGUAAAGCGCGCGUAGGCGGCCGCCUAAGCGGAACCUCUAACCCCGGGGCUCAACCUCGGGCCGGGUUCCGGACUGGGCGGCUCGAGUGCGGUAGAGGAGAGCGGAAUUCCCGGUGUAGCGGUGGAAUGCGCAGAUAUCGGGAAGAACACCGAUGGCGAAGGCAGCUCUCUGGGCCGUCACCGACGCUGAGGCGCGAAAGCUGGGGGAGCGAACAGG
rnacentral:rRNA from 1 species